UUACCUAAGUAAAUGAGUUAUUACUAAUAACACUUACGUGUCUUUUGGUAAUUACUUAUACAUCUACGUGCAUAUUCAGAUCAUUACGUGUCUAUUUGUUUCUCCGAUGUUCUCGAGACUAUCUGUGAAUGCUGUUGCUCUCAAGGGCGUUGUAUCCUAAGUGUUAAGGUUAUUAUGUAUGAUGGACACCUUCACUCGUUGAUAUGUAGUUUCCUUAGGUUGUUGGAGGGAUUGCAGGAGGGAAGCUACAGAGUGAAUUGGAUAAUGAAGCUUAUUUGGAUGAGAAUCGCAGGCCUUUUAAAAAUAUGCAGUUCUUUGUCAAUGUAUUGUAUCCACUGCUUUAUUCCAUUUUGUAUAGGAUUUCAUUUAAUUGGUAAUUUCUAAGCUUUCAGAAUCAAAACACACUGGCAUAUUGGAUGAUCCUUUUGACGAUCUUUCCCAACGUGCUGACUUGAUUCAAAAUGCUUCGCCUGAAGGAAAUCCAAAAGAUGAGAAAGUUUACUACAUAAAACAACCUGAAAUCUGAAUUGCCUGAAUGUUGCUACUUGUGUUCUUCACCCAUUACUUUGCGAGCUGCCUGAAAAUGCAUAAGAAAAAAAGGAGUUUCAAACUUAUCUACAAACAAAGAUGUAACUGAUUCAAACAGCCAAAUGGCAGGAGAGAUGUGUGUUUUACUCAAUGUGGCAAUUCAAGCUGGAACACUUGCUUUUCCAUGCCUUCACCAGCUGCUAUAAGAGUAAGGGCACACUCACUAUGACACUCUUCUAUGGGUGACUUCUACUAGGAAGGAAUUUUUGAAGGAAACACUGGUGUAAGACUGAGUAGUUGAAUAUGCGUACAAAAAGGACAGCCCGCUGUAAGUAUCCAUAUGAAUACGAACCAGAUGUCGUACAAACUGGAGCAGCCCAAGAGGGGAGAGCAGGAUUUCCUAAUGAGCCAGUGACUCUCUUUGUUACCAAAGAUUCUUACAAGUAUAAGGUUGUCCUGCCGGUUGUCCCGAGAAACCUGUACAAGUUGUCAGUUGAGGUUGAGUAUAAUGGGAAAUUUGAGGUUGAAGGGAUGGUAUGUGAUGAUGAAAUAACAAGCAGUGUGGUGCCAAUUACGCUUAAUAGAAACACUCAACGGAUGUUUCCUCCACGUCACUUCACCAUCGGUUUCUAUUUGCCAGGACCUGCUAAUCCAGAGAGUUUAACAACCCGGUUACUCUCAGAUGGCGUUUUGGAAGGAGAAUUGCGUAAACCUGGGGUUGCUGAGGCUCCAUGAGAAUGAUUAUCAGUCCGAAUCGUCUGAUUAAUUGGACAUGAUUAGUUUGUAAUCAUAAUUGAAACCAACUUCUUAUUUUGGAAAAGCACCAGUUAUUUUCAAACUGAAACUCUGUCUGUAUCUUCCUUAACUGAGACUACCUGUUGCAUUUGUUUGUGUAAUGUGUAAUAUAGGGCUGAACUUUCUUGUUAA